UACGGAGGGAGCUAGCGUUGUUCGGAAAUACUGGGCGUAAAGCGCACGUAGGCGGCGCAGCAAGUCAGGGGUGAAAUCCCGGGGCUCAACCCCGGAACUGCCCUUGAAACUGCAGUGCUAGAAUUCUGGAGAGGCGAGUGGAAUUCCGAGUGUAGAGGUGAAAUUCGUAGAUAUUCGGAAGAACACAGUGGCGAAGGCGACUCGCUGGACAGACAUUGACGCUGAGGUGCGAAAGCGUGGGGAGCAAACAGG
rnacentral:rRNA from 1 species